rnacentral:rRNA from 1 species
AGAGUUUGAUCAUGGCUCAGAAUGAACGUUGGCGGCGUGGAUUAGGCAUGCAAGUCGUGCGAGAAGUCUUUUGCUUGCAUUAGACGGAAAGCGGCGAAAGGGAGAGUAACGCGUGGGUACCUACCUCUAGGUUCGGGAUAGCUGCGGGAAACUGUGGGUAAUACCGAAUAACAUCUCCGGAUCAAAGGUGUGAUUCCGCCUGGAGACGGGCCCGCGUCCUAUUAGCUUGUUGGUGGGGUAAUGGCUUACCAAGGCAAUGAUGGGUAUCGGGCGUGAGAGCGUGACCCGACUCACUGGGACUGAGACACUGCCCAGACACCUACGGGUGGCUGCAGUCGAGAAUCUUCGGCAAUGGGCGCAAGCCUGACCGAGCGACGCCGCGUGCGGGAUGAAGGCCCUCGGGUUGUAAACCGCUGUCAGUUGGGAGGAAAUCACAUGGGGUUCUCUCCAUGUGUUGACCUAUCUUCAGAGGAAGGACGGGCUAAGUUCGUGCCAGCAGCCGCGGUAAGACGAACCGUCCAAACGUUAUUCGGAAUUACUGGGCUUAAAGGGUGCGUAGGCGGCUUCGCAAGUUGGGUGUGAAAUCCCUCGGCUCAACCGAGGAAUGGCGCCCAAAACUGCGGAGCUCGAGGGAGACAGAGGUGAGUGGAACUUGUGGUGGAGCGGUGAAAUGCGUUGAUAUCACAAGGAACACCGGUGGCGAAAGCGGCUCACUGGGUCUUUUCUGACGCUGAGGCACGAAAGCUGGGGGAGCGAACGGGAUUAGAUACCCCGGUAGUCCCAGCUGUAAACGAUGAGCACUAGAUCGAAGGGUCCUCCAUAGCCCUUUCGGUCGUAGCGAAAGUGUUAAGUGCUCCGCCUGGGGAGUAUGGUCGCAAGGCUGAAACUCAAAUGAAUUUGACGG